rnacentral:lncRNA from 1 species
AAUUUUGUGUGGUGUUGUCAUGAAAUAAGAUGACAUCUCUCAUUCUCAUGGUGUUUGUUUGUAACAAACAGGUUCGUAAUAGUUUCAAAUUUCAGAACAAGACAUCACAGCCUUGCAUGUAUAUACUAUACUUUUUUACUUUUUUUUUCUUUUUAGUUAAAAAUAUUGAUUUUGAUUUACAAAUAUUCAAAAAGUAGAAAACAUUUUAUGUUUUUUCACUUCUGAUUUUUAUGAUUAAAAACCAAAUACAGUAUCAAAGUUUUUACCAAAUAAUUUAGAAGUAAAUAGUUUUUAAUUUAUAAUUUAACCAACCUGUGUUUUUAAAAAAUUAAGUGUUAAAUUUACGUUGAAAACAAACCGGACCUAGCAUCCAGUUCAUUCUUGUCCAUCUUACCCAUAUGUAAAUUUAAUGCUAAAAAACAACCUAUGGAUUUCUCCCGGUCCAUCUUACCUAUAUGUUCAUAACUAAACUAUGAUAAUUUAAUGAAUGAUAUAUAUAUGAGAUUUUAAAUAACAGGGAUGCGCUAUAAUUACAAUGUAACUCCACAGGUUUGAAGACGCUGGUUAGGGGUAACGAAGGUGUUUCGUGCCUCACUCAUUUGGUUGGUUGUGCAGCCAUGGUGGAAGUUGUCGGCUGAGAAGGUGGGUUUGGUCGAAUCGUCAUGGUGGUUAGUGGUAGAUCCGUUGGGAUCUUGAUGGCCGUCGCAGAUUGUUGAUGUUUGAACUUCCGAUUGAGCCUUCAGCCUCAAUCAUCACUGCGACUUGCUUCCCCAUGGCCGAUUAGAAGGAGUUUGGUCCUUCGAUUGGAUGGUUGUCAUAACAGGGAAGGAGGGGUUAGGUUGGAAGUAGUCGGUUCGCUUGGUUCGGGAGCUGACUACAACGUGAUGAGUCAUUAGAGGGUGGGCCUUUCCGCGAGAUUUGUGGUGGGUUGGUUGCUUCCUCUCCGUUGCCUAGAUACCUCGGUCCGCCACAAAGCCGUGGAUCUGGCUUCCACCGAAUCUAAUGGCUGGACCUUACGCGACACGGUGUCAAUAUGUCCAGAACCUCUUUUCCAGCAACAAUUUUGGCCUCCGAUUUGCUUUCUUCUGUUUUUUGUUGUAAAGCCAAAGCCCAGCCCAUCAAAGGGCCUUUUCAAUAAAAAAAAAAGCCUUCAUAAAAUAAAAUAAAAUAAAAAGAAGCAAAUAAAAUAUAUUAAGGCAUGAGAAGAAGUUGAGAUCAUGUUGUGCUGUGUUUUUUUCUUAUAAUUAUAUUGAGAUCUAUUAUAUCUACCAAA